AGCGAACGCUGGCGGCAGGCCUAACACAUGCAAGUCGAACGAACCUUUCGGGGUUAGUGGCGGACGGGUGAGUAACACGUGGGAACGUGCCUUUAGGUUCGGAAUAACUCAGGGAAACUUGUGCUAAUACCGAAUGUGCCCUUCGGGGGAAAGAUUAAUCGCCUUUAGAGCGGCCCGCGUCUGAUUAGCUAGUUGGGUGAGGUAAUGGCUCACCAAGGCGACGAUCAGUAGCUGGUCUGAGAGGAGGCUCAGCCACAUUGGGACUGAGACACGGCCCAAACUCCUACGGGAGGCAGCAGUGGGGAAUCUUGCGCAAUGGGCGAAAGCCUGACGCAGCCAUGCCGCGUGAAUGAUGAAGGUCUUAGGAUUGUAAAAUUCUUUCACCGGGGACGAUAAUGACGGUACCCGGAGAAGAAGCCCCGGCUAACUUCGUG
rnacentral:rRNA from 1 species